rnacentral:rRNA from 1 species
GACGAACGCUGGCGGCGUGCCUAAUACAUGCAAGUCGAGCGGACCAAAGGGAGCUUGCUCCUGGAGGUUAGCGGCGAACGGGUGAGUAACACGUGGGCAACCUGCCUGUAAGACUGGGAUAACAUCGAGAAAUCGGUGCUAAUACCGGAUAAUAAAAAGAACUGCAUGGUUCUUUUUUGAAAGAUGGUUUCGGCUAUCACUUACAGAUGGGCCCGCGGCGCAUUAGCUAGUUGGUGAGGUAACGGCUCGACCAAGGCAACGAUGCGUAGCCGACCUGAGAGGGUGAUCGGCCACACUGGGACUGAGACACGGCCCAGACUCCUACGGGAGGCAGCAGUAGGGAAUCUUCCGC